AAAAAAGACCUCCAAAAGUUGUCAGUGUUGGACGGUGCUUACUGAGAAUGUUGGUGGAGCUCAGCAGUGAUGCGUCUCCAACAGCACCCUGGAGAGGAGCACUGGGAACGGACAAGAUAAAUAUUUUGCAUCCCUGCCAUUGACAAAGUGGUUACUGCUUAUCACAGGGUGGAAUCAGUGCUCACCUAAAAACCCCACUGAUUGAGAGAAAUUGUAAUUGUUUUUAGGCAGAAUUAUGUGAGGUUUUCUGUGUUGUUGGAGGUGGGUCUUGGUCAGUUUAGCUCAGAAAAUGCUGCCCUCGUCAAUCAUAGGCCUAAUCCUAUGCAGGCCGGCCUUGUGUUUCAUGUUAAUACUACUCCUAAACACAA